UUUAAAGUGCCAAAACAAUUUUAACUAAGCGCAAAACGGAGCCUGGAGCCACCCGCGGAUCCAAUUACCGUACGGGAGCUUAGAGCCUGAUAGUGCCGCCAUGUUAAGGCUGUUUCUGGAGAAACAAACUCAAUUCCAAAGUUUAGAGUUUCUGUAAUUAAAAAAGCCAAAGCAGCAACGCAAAGGAAGGAGAGAAGAUACAAGAGGGAGAGAAACGAGGGAGGAGGAGAGGACUGGAGGAGGAGAGGAGGACUGGAGGGAGAGCUGAGGAGGAGCAGCAGGAAGCAGGAGGUGAAGGUGGGGAGGAAUAAUGAGGAUCCACCAGAACCAGAACCAGAACCAGAACCAGAACCACAGACCAGCCUGAAUAAUCCAAACCAAACGCAGUGAGACUCAGAUGCAGAACAAACUGCAGAUGUGGACUCUCCUAUCGGCCUGCAGGGAUCUGUCCGUCCGUUCGUCUGUCCUCCUCAGGUUUUCUGUGGAUUUGCUCUGAAUUUCCAUCUUUGGCUCGUCUGAAAGUGUCGUAAUGAUCAGGAGGAAGUCUCUCAUUCAGGGCCGAGCCGUCGUCUUUGACUCUGAAAAAUGUAAAUUCAUUCCAGAGGACUUCAUUUGGUUGGCUCUCCUCUCCCGUUCGCCUCAGGCGCGGUCGAGCUGCAGUCUUGGAAAACUUUGGAAGCUGUUUUCCAGAUCCGGAGUUUCAGUCUUCGUUCGUCUCUGGGGCGAAAAGUUUUCAGGAACUUUUAAACUUGGAUCAGAGGAGAAGCUGAUGAGAAAAUGAAACGUUUCUCUGGAGUUAAAACACGUCGACGGUCUGAAAGGAACAUGGCUGUUUGGUUCCUUUGGAUCGGCAGACGGAGCAGCUGAAACGGUGCGGCUGUUUCUGAUUUUCUGAAGCCUCCUGGAGGAAAGAGAAGCAGCAAAACGACAGACAGACGAUGAAGACCUGAAAUGUCUGAGCAGAGAUCAGCUUCCUGUCUGCUGGAGACUCGACGUUUCACUUUUCACUGUCAGUCAGACAAACGCGGCUAAACUCACAGCUGACACUCCGUGUUUCUCUGCCAACUCUUCAUCGCUCUUUUCUCUGCUCCUCUUCAUCCCCGGAGAGCCAUCUUUCAUUUCCGGCUUCACCUUCCUCCCGUCUGGCUGAGCGGCGUGGAGAGACGCUCCUCUGCUGUCAGAGCUGCGGCGGAGAUGGAAGCUGAAACAUACAUGAGGAGACGUGAAGCUCUGCUCUCUCUGCAGACAUCAGUAAAUCACAUUUGUUCCAUCGCAUCAUGAAUCAUAAACUAUAAUGUUUGCAUCAGACGCCAGCCGGCCUGAAGAAAAGACGAGACAGA